rnacentral:rRNA from 1 species
AGAGACAGCAGCCGCCGCGGUAAUACGUAGGGGGCAAGCGUUAUCCGGAAUUACUGGGUGUAAAGGGAGCGUAGACGGUUAAACAAGUCUGAAGUGAAAUGCCGGGGCUCAACCCCGGAGCUGCUUUGGGAACUGUAGAACUGGAGUGUCGGAGGGUAAGCGGAAUCCCCAGUGUAGCGGUGAAAUGCGUAGAUAUUGGGAGGAACACCGGCGGCGAAGGCGGCUUACUGGACGACAACUGACGUUGGGGCUCGAAGGCGUGGGUAGCAAACAGGAUUAGAUACCCCGGUAGUCCCUGUCUCUUAUACA